CGGACGGGUGAGUAACGCGUGGAUAACCUGCCUCACACAGGGGAGUAACAGUUAGAAAUGACUGCUAAUACCGCAUAAGCGCACGGUACCGCAUGGUACAGUGUGAAAAACUCCGGUGGUGUGAGAUGGAUCCGCGUCUGAUUAGGUAGUUGGUGAGGUAACGGCCCACCAAGCCGACGAUCAGUAGCCGACCUGAGAGGGUGACCGGCCACAUUGGGACUGAGACACGGCCCAA
rnacentral:rRNA from 1 species